rnacentral:rRNA from 1 species
GAUGAACGCUAGCGGCAGGCCUAACACAUGCAAGUCGAGGGGCAGCGCGGUGUAGCAAUACACUGGCGGCGACCGGCGCACGGGUGAGUAACGCGUAUGCAACCUGCCCUCCACAGGGGGAUAGCCCGCCGAAAGGCGGAUUAAUACCCCAUCGCCCCGCACCCCGGCAUCGGGGAGCGGGUAAAGGAGCGAUCCGGUGGAGGAUGGGCAUGCGUGCCAUUAGCUGGUUGGCGGGGUAACGGCCCACCAAGGCGACGAUGGCUAGGGGGUCUGAGAGGAUGGUCCCCCCACACUGGUACUGAGACACGGACCAGACUCCUACGGGAGGCAGCAGUGAGGAAUAUUGGUCAAUGGGCGGAAGCCUGAACCAGCCAUGCCGCGUGCAGGACGACGGCCCUACGGGUUGUAAACUGCUUUUCCGGGGGAAGAAUAAGGGGCGACGCGUCGCCCGA